rnacentral:rRNA from 1 species
CCUACGGGAGGCUGCAGUCGAGAAUCAUUCACAAUGGGGGAAACCCUGAUGGUGCGACGCCGCGUGGGGGAAUGAAGGUCUUCGGAUUGUAAACCCCUGUCAUGUGGGAGCAAAUUAAAAAGAUAGUACCACAAGAGGAAGAGACGGCUAACUCUGUGUCAGCAGCCGCGGUAAUACAGAGGUCUCAAGCGUUGUUCGGAAUCACUGGGCGUAAAGCGUGCGUAGGCUGUUUCGUAAGUCGUGUGUGAAAGGCGCGGGCUCAACCCGCGGACGGCACAUGAUACUGCGAGACUAGAGUAAGGGAGGGGGAACCGGAAUUCUCGGUGUAGCAGUGAAAUGCGUAGAUAUCGAGAGGAACACUCGGGGCGAAGGCGGGUUCCUGGACAUUAACUGACGCUGAGGCACGAAGGCCAGGGGAGCGAAAGGGAUUAGAUACCCUAGUAGUC